rnacentral:lncRNA from 1 species
UGAGAUCAGAAGAGCCAGUUUAUAGAUCUGGGUGGAGCCAGCUGAUCCACCAAGUUCAAGCUGAAUGGUGCCUGCAACUUCUGUGACCAUUUUGCCAUGUUGGGACCAAGUGUGAAUGCAAAGUUUGCACAUAGAGGAGAACUGACCAAUCGGAGAAUGGAAAACUUCUUGAUCAUUGAUGACAGCAGUCAACCAGUGAAGCCAUCAAGCCUGGAGUUUUUCCUACUGCUGGAAUUCUUGUCAUUGCAGAAAAUCAAUGUUGUGUUCUGAUUUGGGGCAUUCUAGCUUGCAAAUAGAGGCAUCUUAGCUGACACCAAA